GACGAACGCUGGCGGCGUGCUUAACACAUGCAAGUCGAACGCUGAAGCUCAGCUUUUGUUGGGUGGAUGAGUGGCGAACGGGUGAGUAACACGUGAGUAACCUGCCCCCUUCUUUGGGAUAACGCCCGGAAACGGGUGCUAAUACUGGAUAUUCACUGGUCUUCGCAUGGGGGUUGGUGGAAAGGGUUUUUCUGGUGGGGGAUGGGCUCGCGGCCUAUCAGCUUGUUGGUGGGGUGAUGGCCUACCAAGGCUUUGACGGGUAGCCGGCCUGAGAGGGUGACCGGUCACAUUGAGACUGAGAUACGGCCCAGGCUCGUACGGGAGGCGGCAGUGGGGAAUAUUGCACAAUGGGCGAAAGCCUGAUGCAGCGACGCCGCGUGAGGGAUGGGGGCCUUAGGGUUGUGAACCUCUUUCGCACAUGGUCAAGCCGAAACAAUGGUUGUGGUGAGGGUAGUGGGUAAAGAAGCGCCGGCUAACUACGUG
rnacentral:rRNA from 1 species